GUGUAACUCCGGGGAAUCGCACGGUGCAAAAACCAAAGAACCGGAUUUUCUUUUAACAAGCAACACUUACAAAUCUAUUAAAGAAGACAGUUAUUAAACAAGGAAGAAAAAGAAGCUAUAGGCGAAGCGUAUAUACGCACCGAAAGAAUAAAAAAAUGAUGAUGCUGUGACAGAUGAAUAUCUAGAAAGUAGAGCGUCUUUUGUAGGAUCAAGUCUUUCUGUAACAAUUAGAGUAUCUAAGCCUCCAAAAAUUAUCGGUAUUUUUCCUUCGAAUUUAUUUCCAUUUUAAACUAUUCAUUAACUUUUGUAAAUCAAAUAUACCUACGUUACAUAUUAGAUGUUGCCGACGGUUUGACAAACUUGGUUCUUCAAAAACGACUAGUCUACCCUAUGCAGGAUUUACAUGUCAAUCUAUAAUCCUUCUGGAAACACGUCUAUUGAAAAUAAGAUUUACGAAGAGAUACGACAAGACUUGCCACAGCCAAAGGUGCAUCAAUCGCUUGUGUAGAUGCCUCUCACAAGAGAAAGACUGGUCAUUUUGGUCAAUCAAGGACCAAUGGGCCAGAUUUUCUUUCACCAAACACUUUCCUAUGUAUUAAAGAAAGAUAGUUUUUAUUUCACAUCGUAUGCUUUAUAUAUCUAUAACCUUUAUCAAUUUCUUUUUAUUAUAGAAGUAAAAGUUACUUCUGUGAGAGAAUUACAAAGCUUCCUAAUUUCUGUUAUUAUAUUUUAUUACAGACAGUUCUUGAUCGAAAAGAAAAAGAGUUUAUACGCGAAGCGCGUGGCGUACCGGAAGUGUAAAGAAAUUGUGAGGCUGCGACAGAUGAAUGUCAAGAAAGUUGAUCGUCUUUUGUAGGACCAAGUCUUUCUGUAACAAUUGGAGCACUUAAGCUUGCAAAAAUUAUCGAUAUGUUUCUUUCGAAUUUAUUUGUAUUUUAAACUAUGCAUUAAAUUUUGGAAAUCUAAUAUACCUAUGUUACUUGUUUGGUGUUGCCGGAGGUUUGACAAACUUGCUUUUUCAAAAGUGACGAACACAAUCAACCACUUGUAUGGCAAUGGUGUAAUGUAUAUUCGCAAUUGAAUUAUUUCAGGAUUUACAAAAAGAAACGGCAAGACUUGCCAAAGAUGCAUCAACUCCUGUAGUGAUAUCGAUGCUUCUCAGAAAGGUACGAAUGAUAAUAUUGAUAUAAUAUUGAAUAAAGAACCAGGGGAACAAUUAUUAGAAAUGUUCCAACUAUUAGAGAAAGAUAUAUAAAAGCUAUAAAAGCAACUCUACUUUCUAGAUAUUAAUUAUUUCAGAUUCUCCUUUUUUUUUUUAUUCCUCUGGCACAUCACGCGUUUCGCAUAUAGCUUCUUUUCUUCUACGCAUAAUAACUCCGCUAGUGAGCAUAUAUAAUGACAAAAUGAAAUAGAUGAUAACCUUGAAUUGUAUGCACGAGGAAUAGUCCCGCGUAGACACAGUAAUAACCGUAAGAGUAGAGUAGUCGGUGGAAAAGCAACGAUGUCAGAUACGCAUAAUUGUAAUUUAAAAAAAUGGGUGAAACCUAAUUGUCAUUCCAUUUUAUAUGUCCCUACCUUAUUUAGGUCGAGUUAAUUCGGGAAAAAUGUUUCUUCGUAUUCCUAUAUUGGCUGAUGACAUUAUUCCGGGUUCAUAACUUUAGUAAUGUCCAACAAUCAAUUUUUAUCAAGCGCUUUAUCAAGCGGUUAUCAAGCGCCGCGCCUUUGAAAGUUGAGUUUUUGUGGAAUAUUUUUCGAGAGGUUUUUUCGAAUUCGUGUAUUUGUUUAAAAGUUAUCACGCCUUAUAAGUGAGAUAGAACAAAGAAGAUGUAUUUUGAAAUUUUAUUACGAGGAAAAGAAUAAUGCCAAUCCAACUCUUGAAAAAAUUUAGAAUCGAUGCGUUAUAAAUGGACAUCGCACAUGGUUACAUCAAACGUUUCCAAUACGGAAGAUAUGAUGUAGUGGUGCAAGACAUAGACUAGGAACCAACCAUCGGUCACAAAACAGUUCUACAUCAUUUGAAGAAUGCUGGAUAUAUAAAGAUAUCCAAUGUUCAUGUUCCAUAUGAUCAAAUAGUGAAGCGUUUAAUGGAUUUCUGUCUGCGAAUCGUUAUUAGGACCUAACGAAACCGAUGCGCUCUUGAAACGGGCCAUUAUGUACGAUAAUCUAUGAAAAGGAUCAUGAUCCAUGGAAGGAGAAUCAACCGUUGUCGCGCCGUUCAAACUAUUGAUCAUAAUCUCUUCUCCAAACAAUCGCAAAAUGAUUUGCUUUUGCAUUGAAAUACGAAGAAACCUUUUCCUCUAACUUAAUAUCUUGAUUAGUAAUGUCAUUGGUUGAUAUCAUUCCUUUAUGGAAAUUAAUUCGAAUUAUUUCAGUAAUAUAGUCAAAGGUAUUUAUCUUGCUUAACAAUGUGAAUGAAUGACAUUACUGAUAGGAUCAUUAUAUUACAUAUAGAUUAUCAUACACGUAAUUAAUUAUAUCUAAUUAAAUGUUAUAAUAAUAAUAAAUAUAUUUCAAUAAACGAUUUAUCGAUAUUCUGUGUAGCAAAACUGAUUAGAGAAUUAACCUGAGGUAUCAGGUUAAUUCGAGCUUUUAAUCAAGAUUUUUGAGUCAAUGAAAUUAAGAUCAAAUUCUGUGGCAGAUUGAAAAUAUUCAAAUGUCGUAGAUAAUUGAAGGAAUAGCAAAUAUCGACUAACAUUUCAGUUUGCAGUUAUAACACCGACAUCGCGUAGAUUUACGCCCGUUACAGACAGAUAUCACUCACUCGGAAUAAAUAUGAAAUGGAUCGUUACAAUUUCCCAAUGCAUGUUUAUUUGUUUUUUCCUUCUUUGUCUUUUUUCUCCCUUUAAUCUCUUUCUUUUAAUUCCUUUUCUGUUUUCCUUUGUUCUGAUUUUAAUUUUUUUUUAAUUUUCUUUUCCUCUUUUAGAUUUUAAUCUUUCUUUUGAUUCUAAUUUAUUUUGUAAUCUUUUUCGUUUUUUUCUUUUUGGUAGUAAUUUCUUUUUCUUCUUUUUCAAUUCUAACUUUUCUUUCUUUUCUUUUUAUUUUAAUUUAUUUUUUAAUUUUUCUUUAACCCUUCGCACUCGGAUGUUCCCCCAGAACGAUCAGAAAACGAGGA